AUUGAACGCUGGCGGCAGGCCUAACACAUGCAAGUCGAACGAGUGGCGGACGGGUGAGUAAUGUCUGGGAAACUGCCCGAUGGAGGGGGAUAACCACUGGAAACGGUAGCUAAUACCGCAUACCAUCGGAUGUGCCCAGAUGGGAUUAGCUAGUAGGGGGGGUAAAGGCUCACCAAGGCGACGAUCCAGAGCUGGUCUGAGAGGAUGACCAGCCACACUGGAACUGAGACACGGUCCAGACUCCUACGGGAGGCAGCAGUGGGGAAUAGUGCGCAAGGGGCGCAAGCCUGAUGCAGCCAUGCCGCGUGUAUGAAGAAGGCCUUCGGUUUGUAAAGUACUUUCAGCGGGGAGGCGUUACCCGCAGAAAAAGCACCGGCUAACUCCGUGCCAGCAGCCGCGGUAAUAC
rnacentral:rRNA from 1 species